CCAGUACUAGAGAGCGAAGAGGCAGGUGGGUAUGAGUUGCGCACAUUAGUUUGUCCUGGUAGUUUUGUGUUUGUUUGUUUGGAUUUCUGUUUGUUUUGUUUUGUUUGUUUUGUUUUGUUUGGGGAGGUUAUUUUUUUAUAAGAAAGCAGACAUUUUAUUAGCACACAGCUUGCCUUCUCUCCUGGACUAAAGGAGGCUUUGCGACUCAAGCAUGCAGUUUUCCCAAUCCUUAUUCCUCUACAGACUUGCAAUGAGCAGAAGUCAUUCUCUGUGUUAUAUUUAUUCAUCUAACGUACAAUCCUAUGAAUUCCGCGUGCAUUUAGCUGUUGAGAGGCGACUGCUUCUGAACUGAGUAUCUAAUAGUUGCAACUGAGUCAACCUUUUUGUUCUUCCAGUUUUCUCUCACAAUGGGAGUUUUGGGGAUCUUCUGGAAAGUUGCUUCCGAACGUAAGAGCUUUGAUGUUUGUGCUCUCAGGGAAGUCUAUACUUUUUCCUCAAAGAAGGCAAUUCCGGCUCUUGCUUAACAUCUCACUGAUGCUCAGAAAAACUAAGACUAGUAAUGACAUAGUUAGGGCCUCUGUGUCAUAGGAGUUGUGUGCUUUUUCAGCCUGCAAGCUUUUGUUUCACAGUGAGUGUGUGUGUGUGUUUAUGAAAUAAUUUUCUUUCUUUUCCUUUCAAGAUGCACUGAUGAACAAACCAGAAAAGACAGCAUAGUCAUACAUGCUGGAUUUUAAUCCGGUUACACCGAAUCAUUUCACGCUAGACCGACUACGAAAACGUACCGGGCCGUCCACCUCUGAGGGAGCCCCGGGAGCCAUUACAAGCGGUGGAUGAUCGAUCGCGGCUACCGGCUUCCAGUACUGCCUAGAAGCUGAAGAGGAGGUGGAGUGCCCGAGGAGACAACGCCACCGGGUCACCGGCGCGUGAGCGCGACUCUGGGAGUGAAGCGAGACAGAGGGAGAGCGCACGUGUUACCUGCUUUAUUUCGGGACUGUUUGGUUCUGUGCUCGCCCGGGGCAGCUCUCCGCCCGCCCGCCCGCCCGCCCGCCCGCGUGCGUGGAAGGCCUCCACAGAACGCACCCACCUCUCAGCCGCCCCCGCUCGCCGCCCUCAGCCCAGCUUCACAGCCGAGCUCGCCGCGGGCCGCAGGAAGCUCUUUUGCUACAUGCCUUGCCAGCGCCGGAGCCUGCGGUCCAACUGCGCUGCUGCCGGAGCGCUCAGUGCCGCCUCCGCUGCCCGCUCCCCCCGCGCCCCACUCCGAACCCGCUGGUCGCCCGCCGCGCUGCUGCCCGGCUCCCGUGCCGCCGCCGC
rnacentral:lncRNA from 1 species